GGAAGCUGAUGAGAUCUGGUGGUCUCCACGGUCUUCAAAACCGCUGGCUGCUAAUGCUGCAGCGGCAGGUUCGAUUCCUGCCUCUUCC
rnacentral:tRNA from 1 species